rnacentral:lncRNA from 1 species
UCCCCUCAGUUUACACAGAAACAAGGAAUUGUUCACUGAACUUUGAACCACUUCUACUCGAAGCUAAAUCAUCUUAGUCAAGAGAAAAUCGAAGGAAGAAACUUCAAGAAAAAGAUAGCAGCAGAUGCGUAACCCGAAGGCAAGAAAGACAAGAGCUCACUCUUCCUUGUCUUCUUAAAUCGGAGAAGGUUUCAGAGAUUCCCAGCCCCUGAGCUCUCAUCCUAAGAGAAGAUUUUGGAGGGUGGUUCAUCAGAAUGGAGUGGAAUCUGGGUUUUGCUGAAGAAACAUGGAAGCAGCAGGAGUUGGGAGCCGCAGCCACGGUACCGGAAGCCAUGACCUUUUAAGCGUCGGAACACAAGGCUCACCUCAACUCUCCCCAAGCAAUCCAUGGCGUUUUAUAGGGCUUCGAAAGAGCUCGACCACCUCGAGAUUUACAUGCUCAAUGUGAAUAGAGGAAGGACGAGGUUGGACGCGUCUCAAUGCAAAUAUAUAUAUAUAUAUAUAUAUAUAUAUAUAUAUAUAUAUAUAUAUANNNNNNNNNNNNNNNNNNNNAUAUAUAUAUAUAUAUAUAUAUAUAUUACAAGAGACCAAAAUAACAAACAAUUAUUGGACGCAUAAUUGAAGGAACCAACGGGACCCAACGGGACAUGUUGCACUAGCAACAGCGAUAGAUAAUUUGAUCUAUUUCUUAUAUCAUUAGACUCGUCACAUGUACCGAAAUAUAUCAAAUGACAUUAAGAUCAAAACCUAGAAAUAAAAUUAUGAUUUUUUUGAUAUUUUAAUUUAUUUUUAAUUAAAUCUUAAAAAAAACGUAUAAUUCGAAUCAAAAUUGAAACCAAAACUGAUUAAAUAAGAUCUAAAACUGAUCAUUUGAUUCCAAAAAUUGGACUCCCGAAUCACCAAUUUCAGAAUCGGAGUCUAAUAAUAUAUUAUAUUUAAAUCAAAAUAUUAAAAUUUAGCCAUAUAAAUAACUUGGAUCAAGUGUUUAAUUCAAUUCUUUUUAUCCAAUGAAAAUAUUGAUGGGGAAUCAAAGAGGUAAAGGGGAAGCAGAUGAUACUUUCUCAUUUUAAUUUUUCCGUCCAGUAAAGUAAUAGCAUUUACAAGAUUCUACAUAAUAAAAAAUAAUAAACUUAAUCAAAUAUGAAAACAAACAAUACAUUGAUCUUAUUAGACGGAUACGGAUGAGCACAUUGACUUUUCAGGUGCUUGUAUCAGUGGACCAAGCUAUAAAAGAUAACGACUGUUUGGUCAUGAAGUUGAAGUCAUAAAUGGAGGAUUAAUCAAUUCUUUUCAGUUGGAUGGAAAAAAAAAAGGAAGGGAAAGAGUCACUGUAUGCAACCCAACAAAUGCUUUUAAUCGUCGAACACAUGUUUCAUGGUGUUUCCUCUAUCUUACCUCUGAAACCCUUACGUUGAAAAGUGAAUUCAUCAGCACAGUGCACUGAUAGGAACAGUUUGUUGAUCCUACUUGCUGGCUAUAAGUGCAAUCUAAGAUUAUUCUUCUUCAGUAUAAGCGUACACAAUUUUCUCUCGGCUAUAAUAAGAGUUUCGAUAUUUUGAAGGAACUCCUUUCUUUGUGAAAAUAAGAUCAUUCUAAAUUGUUGAGAAAGAGGAUGAGAAAGAAAAGACCAUUCCUUGUUUUCUCUCUAAACUUUCAGCACGUGAAGAACAACAAGAGAGCAUGAAAAGCAUGCAAGUGAUUAGCUUCCGAUAGAGGAGGAAGAAAGAAAAAAAAAGGGAGACGACAGUGACUUGUUGCGACAAAGCCGUUUAGCCUCAUGAACUGCUUCAUAGUGAUCCUAUUCGAUUGAUUCUUUAUUAUUAUACAUCUUUUCAUGAUGACUUUUUCCGUGAUACAAGAGACAGAUAUAUUUUCAUAUUAUACAUCUUUUUCCUGACGUAAGAUACAAGAAAACUAAACAAAGUCUAUUUUGCAAGACAGUGAUCAUAUUCUAUUUCGUUGAUCUUUCAUUUUCAUACAUCUUUUUAAUUAUAUCUUUUUCUUGAUACGAGAGAUAAGAAAACCAGAUGUCUAUUUCCCUGUUGAGUCUUGGAUGGGUUAAUUUGAAUAUUAAGUUUAAAUCUAAUUUAUUAAAAAAAAGAAGAAGAUGUGCGCGGGUUGAGAGGUAUGCGAAUGGUGGAAACAAUACCGAGCAUAAAAAGAACAAAAUUAAGGUUUUGAGAUUUUUGUUAUACUAUCAAGCGAUAAAAUUUUAUCAAUUUUGAUCCAAAUUUUAUGUAGAGAAUCCUUGCAAUAAGCUCUAUAAUUUUAAUGAUGAUUAUCUAUAAUUCAUCUUCUCUAAUAUACUUUUCUAAUAUACCCCCUUGGUGAGAUCUCAAUCAAUUUUUUAUUUAAAUAUAUUUAUGAUGAUGAUGACAUGUUACUGUUGAACCAAGAUAUAUGUUCAUGAUAUUAUCGUGAUCCUCUAGUUAUUUAGAGAAGACUUAUUGUAAAUAUAUUAUCAUUAUUGGUGAUAGUGAAGGUUUGAAGUAGACUACGGUCCCAUAGUUUUUUUCGUAUUGGAUUUUUCAGGUAAAAAAUUUGGUAUCUCACUUUGUGAUUAAUUCAUUAUUCUAUUGUUUAUACUGUUCUGAUUAAUAAUUACUUUUGAUAAUAAAUUGAUAUUAUGAUAAGAAACACAUUUUGAUACACAAAGAAGAAAAGAAUUAUUCCGCUAUAAUAUGUUUUCUUAGUGAUCUCCUAUUCAAUUGAUCUUUCAUUUUCAUUCAUCUUUUCAUUCUCAGUGAUCUCCUAUUCAAUUGAUCUCUAAUUUCCAACAUAAAAACUUGGAUCUUUUCGAAAUCUCUACUGCAAAAAGAAAUGAAGAAGGCUCAAAACUGGUUCUUAACUUCGUUGCUUAGAAAAUAGUCAUGACUAACUCAUCAUCUUCUAUAUAAAAUAGUAAGGAGAAUUCAGCUCGCUAGUGUAUUAUUAGGUUUAAAUGUAACCUCACCAUGAAUCCAAAACACAUUAUGGUUGGUGUUUGAUUUUGUUGAUCAAUCACAAUCAUCAUCAUUACAAUUCUGAAGGGCAUAUACGACCUUAAAUAGCAAAAUUUUAGUGUUUCCUUGAAGAGAAACGUGUACUUAUGAUUGCCACUUUAACAAACGAGAGAUAUAUCCGACUUUAAAUAACAAAUGAGAGAUGUAUACAAGGAAGCUACACAAGAAUCGAUGUGCAUCGAAUUAGCAUAGGCUAAUGACAAGUGUUAUGAUUUAAAGUAUUAUUUUUUAUUUUGAAAUAAAUUAAUUAGAUAGAGUUUUGAAAAUAAAGAUCUCUUAGUUUAAUGUACUAAUGAAGUCAAAUUUCUUCGCAACUUCAAAAAAAUUCAACGUAGAUGUAGUAGAUAUUAAUAAAAGGAUCAAAGAUUUAUAUAUUUUAUCAAUAUUUAAUUCUUAUGUUGAUAAGAUGAGUACAAAUGAUGGAUUAUCAAUCUAAAAUGUUAGACUUGGUCAUAUAAAUAUUCUCAAAUUAAAACUUUUGAUGUAAAAAAGUAUAUUUAAUAAUCUUUCUAAUCUUACUACUUUUAAUAGUAAUGAAGUCUGCGAUGGUUGUCAGUAUGACAAAAUACAUAAGUAAUAUUUUGAUAAAUCAUUUUCAAGAUGCAAAUUUCUCUUAAGACUUAUUCAGAAUAAUCUAAUAGGCUUAUUUCAAACUUCAUCAUAUUUAGGUUCUCGUUAUAUAUUUCACUUUAUUGAUUAUGUUACAAGAUUCACUUGGGUUUAUUUUGUGGAGAAAAAAAAAAUCAAAAGUGUUAUUUUAAAAUUUUAAGAGUUCAAGUUAACAAUUAAAGUAUUCUUGAAAGAAAAGUUAAAAGAUUAUGGACUGACAAUAAAAGGGAAUUCAUUUUUGGUAGAUUUUUUUCCUUUUGUGAUGAGAAUGAUAUAAAAGAAAACUUACAUAUGUAAAUACACAACAACAAAUUAGUAUGACAUAACAAAAAAUUUUGACACCUUGUGGGGAAUUGUAAGUGUUGAUUUAUACUAAGAAUUUACUAAGAACCUUAUGGGUAGAAGGUAUGACAUAUGUUAUUGAUCAAGCUUUUAUUAGUCCAAUCAAUUUAAAGUCUCCAUAUAAGUUUAUGUCUAGUGAGAAACAAUUGAAUAUUUCAAGCUAUUUGGUUCAUACUAUAUUAAUAUACUAGAUUCAAAGAGAAGCAAGUAUGAUAUUAAAGCCCAAAAAUAUAUUUUUAUUAGCUUAAAAAAUAAAGGUUAAAGGUAUAGAUCCACGUAUACAUAGUUAUGUGAUGUCUCGAUAUAUUGUGAUUGAUGAAGUUUAUUCUUAUUAUUCUCCAUAAGUAGUUUACUUUGAAAAUAUCAAUCACAAUAUUAAAAAUGAUACAUGUUCAAAACUUGAGGUUGAGAUUUUUUUUUAUUAUCUAGUGCUCCUAUGAAUUUUGGCUUAGCUUCUUUCUCAUUUGUAUUUACUCCUAGAGAUGAAAUGAGUAAUAAUAUUGAGAAAAUUAAAAAGGAUAAUUAUCAAGCCAGUAUAUUAUAGAGAUAGAGAUAAUAGAGAUAGAGACGAUGUAAGUAUAUGUCAUUGUUUUUAUUUUGAAUCAAAGGUGUCAAGGAGUAGAGGGAUGUGAUGGAUGAAGAAACCAAGGUUUAAAAAAAAAAAAAGAACUUUCAGCAUAGUUGAGGAAGAGGAUGAGAAAGAAAAGACCAUUCCGUUUUUUUCUCCGAACUUUCAGCAUAGUGAAGAACACAAAGAGAACAUGGAAAAGGAACGACAGUGACUUGUUGCCACAAAGCUACAAGUGAUUAGCCUCAUCAAGAAAAGACCAUUCCGUUUUUUUCUCUGAACUUUCAGCAUAGUGAAGAACACAAAGAGAACAUGGAAAAGGAAACGACAGUGACUUGUUGCCACAAAGCUACAAGUGAUUAGCCUCAUGAACAGCUUCAUAGUGAUCCUAUUCAAUUGAUUCUUUAUUAUUAUAAAUCUUUCCAUUAUGACUUUUUCCUGAUACAAGGAUAUAUUUCCAUUAUGUCUUUUUCCUGAUGUAAGAUACAAGAAACUAAACAAAGUCUAUUUCUCAACAUAGUGAUCCUAUUCUAUUCAAUUGAUCUUUCAUUUUCCUACAUCUUUUUAUUAUGUCUUUUCCUGAUAUAAGAGACUAGAAAACUAAAAGUCUAUUUCCCAACACAGUGAUCCUAUUCUAUUCAAUUGAUUUUUUAUUUUCAUACUUCUUUUUAUUAUGUCUUUUCUUGAUGUAAGAGAUAAAAAAAUCAAAAUUCGAUUUCUCGACAUCUUUUUAAUUGAUCUUUCAUUUUCAUACAUCUUUUUAUUAUGUCUUUUCCUGAUAUAAGAGACAAGAAAACUAAAUAAGAACUCUAAUUUCCAACAUAAAAUCUUGGAUCUUUUCUAAUUCUCUGCUGCAAAAACGAAAUGAAGAAGGCUCGAAACUGGUUCUUAACUUUGUUGCUUAGAAAAUAGUCAUGAUUAACUCAUCAUCUUCCGUGUAACAUAGUAAGAAAUAUCUUAGGGAUUCAGAUCGCUGGUGUAUUAUUAGGUUUAAUUGCAACCUCACCCAUGAAUCCAAAAUACAUUAUGGUUGGUGUUUGAUUUUGUUAAUCAAUCACAAUCACCAGCAUUACAAUUCUGAAGGGCAUAUAUGACCUUAAAUAACAAAAUUUUAAUGUUUCCUUGAAGAGAAACGUAUACUUAUGAUUGCGACUUUAACAAAUGAGAGAUAUAUACGACUUUAAAGACCAAAUGAGAGAUGUAUAAAAAAAAGCCACACAAGAAUCGAUGGGUAUAGAAUUUACGAGAAGUGUUAUGAUUUAAAGUAUUAUUUUUUUAUUUUUAAAUAAAUUAAUUAGAUAGAGUCUUGGAAAUAAAGAUAUCUUAGUUUAACGUGCUAAUGAAGAUAAAGAAUUAAAUAUAGAUGUAGUACAUAUUAAUAAAAGUAUCAAAGAUUUAUAUAUUUUAUCAAUAUUUAAUUCUUACAUUGAUAAGAUGAGUACAAAUGAUAGUUUAUCAAUCUAAAAUGUUAGACUUGAUCAUAUAAAUAUUUUUAAAUUAAAAAUUAUAAUUAAAAAAGUAUCUUUAAUAAUCUUCCUAAUCUUCUUACUUUCAGUAGUAAUGAAGUCUGUGAAGAUUGUCAGUAUGACAAAACAGAUAAGCAAUAUUUUAAUAGAUCAUUUCUAAGAUGCCAAUUUUUCUUAAGACUUAUUCAUAAUAAUCUAAUAGGCUUAUUUCAAACUCCAUCUUAUUUAGGUUCUCGUUAUAUAUUUUACUUUAUUGAUAACGUUAAAAGAUUCACUUAUGUUUAUUUUAUGAAGAAAAAAAAAUCAAAAGUUUCAUUUUAAAAUUUUAGGAGUUCAAGUUAAUAUUAAAAUAUUCUUGAAAGAAAAGUUAAAAGAUUAUGCACCGACAAUGAUAGGGAAUUCAUUUUUGGUAGAUUUUUUUCCUUUUGUGAUGAGAAUGAUAUCAAAAGAAAACAUACAUAUGUAAAUACAUAACAACAAAUUAGUAUGGCAUAACAAAAAAAUUGACAUCUUGUGGGGAUUUGUAAGUGUUGAUUUAUACAAAAAAUUUACCAAGAACCGUACGAGUAGAAGGUAUGAUAUCUGCAACUUAUGUUAUUAAUUAAGCUUUUAUUAGUUCAAUCAAUUUAAAGUCUUCAUAUGAGUUCAUGUCUAGUGAGAAAUAAUUAAAUAUUUCAGGCUAUUUGGUUCAUGCUAUAUUAAUAUACUAGAUUCAAAGAGAAGCAAGUAUGAUGUUAAAGUCAAGAAAUAUAUUUUUAUUGGCCUUGAUAGAAGGAAAAAAGGUUAAAAAUAUAUAGAUCCAUAUAUACAUAGUUAUGUGAUAUCUUGAGAUAUUCUUAUUAUUCUCCAUAAGUAGUUUAUUUUAAAAAUAUCAAUUAUAACAUUAAAAAUGAUAUAUAUUCAAAACUUGUGGUUGAGAUUUUUUUUUUGUUAUCUAGUGCUCCCAUUGUUAUCAAAAUGAAAUGUGUUGUAAAUCAUAUCAUCCUCCCAUACAUGGACAUAAUAAUGGUGGCAUUACUUAACUUAUAUUCCUAUAUGAGCGUCAACUUCAGCAUCUAUCAAGAGGAUAAUUAAAUAUAGUUAUAUAUCCCUAUGGAUAGAGAUGUUAUCUUAUUCUAUUUAGAUUCAGUUAGAUUAUGUAAUUCUUUAUAAUUGGAUAAGAUAUAUAUAAUAGAACUAAUUGGAUUUUGAUAUUAGUCAAUAGAAAAGAAGUCUAUAUUAUAAUAGAAUUUCUUAGGAAAUGCUACGAGAAACUCUCAUAAUAAUUAUCCUAAACCCUGAUAGCUACUAUCGCCUAUAAAUAGACAGGACCUCUAAGAACUAAACAACGAAUCUCAUAAAGGACGCAGUUGAGAGAUUAUAGUUUCUCUCUCGACCUUCUUGAACCAUUAAUCUAAAGACGAUGCCCGAAUCACACAGAGAUUUUUUUCAGAUGAUAUCAAAAUGUAUGCAUCGUAAAAUCGAUCUAAUGUUAUUUGAUUUCAAUCCUAACAUAAAGAUUUUUUCGUAUUACAUAUAGCAUAUUAUGUUAAUAGAUAUAACCUUUUAGAUAAUUGAUUAUUUCUAUUUUUACUAAAUAUAUUGCUCCAUUCUCUUACGGAUUUCCCUUUUGGAGGGUAAUUCUUCAAUUGAUAAAAGAUUAGGUCAGGUCAGGUUGUCUAAGCACACAUCCAGCUCAAAAUGAAAUAAUAUUCAUAAUAUUACAUGCAUCAGAUUGUUAUUUAGAGUGAGCUUCGAACGAGUUCUACUUGAAGCUAAAUCAUCUUAGUGAAGAGAAAAUUGAAGGAAGAAACUUAAAGAAAAAGAUAGCAGCAGAUGCGUAACCCGAAGGCAAGAAAGACAAGAGCUCACUCUUCCUUGUCUUCUUAAAUCGGAGAAGGUUUCGGAGAUUCCCAGCCCCUGAGCUCUCAUCCUAAGAGAAGAUUUUGCAGGGUGGUUCAUCAGAAUGGAGUGGAAUCUGGGUU